AUUGAACGCUGGCGGGAUGCCUUACACAUGCAAGUCGAACGGCGUGGCGAACGGGUGCGUAAUGUAUCGGAACGUGCCCAUUCGCGGGGGAUAACUACGCGAAAGCGUAGCUAAUACCGCAUACUUUUGCAGCGGCCGGUAUCGGAUUAGCUUGUUGGUGGGGUAACGGCUCACCAAGGCGACGAUCCGUAGCUGGGUUGAGAGGACGACCAGCCACACUGGGACUGAGACACGGCCCAGACUCCUACGGGAGGCAGCAGUGGGGAAUUUUGGACAAUGGGGGAAAGCCUGAUCCAGCCAUCCCGCGUGUGCGAUGAAGGCCUUCGGGUUGUAAAGCACUUUUGGCAGGAAAGCGGUACCUGCAGAAUAAGCACCGGCUAACUACGUGCCAGCAGCCGCGGUAAUAC
rnacentral:rRNA from 1 species